GACGAACGCUGGCGGCGUGCUUAACACAUGCAAGUCAAGCGGAAAGGCCCUUCGGGGUACUCGAGCGGCGAACGGGUGAGUAACACGUGAGUAAUCUGCCCCAGGCUCUGGGAUAGCCACCGGAAACGGUGAUUAAUACCGGAUACGACAACCGAUUGCAUGAUCUGGUUGUGGAAAGUUUUUCGGCCUGGGAUGUGCUCGCGGCCUAUCAGCUUGUUGGUGAGGUAAUGGCUCACCAAGGCUUCGACGGGUAGCCGGCCUGAGAGGGUGACCGGCCACACUGGGACUGAGACACGGCCCAGACUCCUACGGGAGGCAGCAGUGGGGAAUAUUGGACAAUGGGCGGAAGCCUGAUCCAGCAACGCCGCGUGAGGGAUGACGGCCUUCGGGUUGUAAACCUCUUUCAGCACAGACGAAGCGCAAGUGACGGUAUGUGCAGAAGAAGGACCGGCCAACUACGUGCCAGCCGCCGCAGUAAGAC
rnacentral:rRNA from 1 species